rnacentral:lncRNA from 1 species
AACAAAUCUCUUGUCUGCUUUCUGCUUUAGGAGGUCACUGGCAAUUGGCAGUUGAUUCCGAUUAGGUUCAGCCCCCAGUACUGUGGGCCUGUUGUGAUCCCCCCCCCCCCCACACACACACACACACACAGUCACAUCACUGUUACAAUGUUUACUGUUUCCAACAUGAAUGUAUUGUAAUGUGCAGAACAAUGCCGGUCCGGUGGUUAAAGCUUGGAGAACUUUCCAGUUCAUCAGCCCCAUCAUCACCUACAUGCGUGGGGGAUCCCAGCAGGUGGUGGUGAGGAUGAACCACGUGAGUAGGGUGAGAGGCCUGGAGACUCAACUGGUGUGGGCCAUCUCCAAGGAGACAGCCAGGCUUAGUCCAGAGGGCAUCUCCUACUGUGCCACCAAAGUGCAGUCCAUCACUUGGAUCCAGGUAAGACGUAAAUACUACUGAAACAGUAGUAGGUUAGGCUUUUCUUCACUUAUUCCAUUUGGACUUAAUAUGUAUUCUCUCUUUGUCAGCGUGUGGCUGGCAGGGUGACCCACUAUGCGUCUCACCUCCGCCACGAGACGUCUG